AUUUGAAACAGAACUCAGCAUUAAUCACAAGGACUUCCCUUUUCAUUGAAUACAGCUUUGUAUUUGGACUGUACACUUGUAGUAUAUGCUUGAUAUUCUAACUAGUGGAUAAACGAAUCUGUGCUUUCUCACCAGCAUUACUGGUAUCUACAAGCGAGUGAGCGUAACCGUUACCAUGCCAAUAGACGGGUCCUGUAGAUGCGGACCUGCGUGCAAAUGCGAACAGGAAAUAUGCAAUUGCGGAAACUGUAAGGUCAAAUAUAAAGCAACAGGAAAGAAAUGUCAGUGCGAUCCCGUGGCUUGUGCCUGCAGCAGAAACAGCCAGGCUGCAAACGUGAACGUGACUAAAAGAGGAAAAUGAAAGUUCGAAAGAGGGCGUUACUUUCUGUUUCUCUCUAAUUCAAGCUUAGUCUUUGUCUCAGAAAUAAUUGAACAAUGGCAAUCAUUGCCAACAACAUACUUGUUUACUAACAAUUGAUGAGAGUUAAUUAUCUGUUUGUCUCUCUUUAUUCUUAUAUUUGUUCUGAUGUGUUAUAUUUAUAUCCAGUAUAAAUAUUGAUAUUUUA